rnacentral:rRNA from 1 species
UACGUAGGGGGCUAGCGUUGUCCGGAUUUAUUGGGCGUAAAGAGCGUGUAGGCGGCCAGGUAGGUCUGGUGUGAAAGCCCUCGGCUCAACCGGGGAACUGCAUGGGAAACUGCGGAGCUUGAGUCCGGGAGAGGAUAGUGGAAUUCCCAGUGUAGCGGUGAAAUGCGUAGAUAUUGGGAGGAACACCGGUGGCGAAGGCGGCUAUCUGGACCGGUACUGACGCUGAGACGCGAAAGCCAGGGGAGCAAACGGG